AUUGAACGCUGGCGGCAGGCCUAACACAUGCAAGUCGAGCGGAUGAAGGGAGCUUGCUCCUGGAUUCAGCGGCGGACGGGUGAGUAAUGCCUAGGAAUCUGCCUGGUAGUGGGGGAUAACGUCCGGAAACGGGCGCUAAUACCGCAUACGUCCUGAGGGAGAAAGUGGGGGAUCUUCGGGCCUCACGCUAUCAGAUGUGCCUAGGUCGGAUUAGCUAGUUGGUGGGGUAAAGGCCUACCAAGGCGACGAUCCGUAACUGGUCUGAGAGGAUGAUCAGUCACACUGGAACUGAGACACGGUCCAGACUCCUACGGGAGGCAGCAGUGGGGAAUAUUGGACAAUGGGCGAAAGCCUGAUCCAGCCAUGCCGCGUGUGUGAAGAAGGUCUUCGGAUUGUAAAGCACUUUAAGUUGGGAGGAAGGGCAGUAAGUUAAUACCUUGCUGUUUUGACGUUACCAACAGAAUAAGCACCGGCUAACUUCGUG
rnacentral:rRNA from 1 species